CCUGGUUGAUCCUGCCAGUAGUCAUAUGCUUGUCUCAAAGAUUAAGCCAUGCAUGUCUAAGUUCAGCUUUUUGAACAGUGAAACCGCGAACGGCUCAUUAAAUCAGUCUUGGUUCAUUUGAUAUUAAACCGUACUAGGAUAACUGCGGUAACUCUGGAGCUAAUACUUGCUAUAAACCGUGGCCUGUCUCAGCACGGGAGCUUUUAUUAGAUUAAGACUACGAUGCCUUUAUGAAAGGUGUUACUUGAUGAACUCUGGAUAACUGCAGGACCCCAGAUGCCUUGCGCAGGGGGCGUAUCAUUCAAGUGUCUGCCCUAUCAACUUUGGACGGUAGUGUAUCGGACUACCGUGGUUGUAACGGGUAACGGGGAAUCAGGGUUCGAUUCCGGAGAGGGAGCCUGAGAGACGGCUACCACAUCUAAGGAAGGCAGCAGGCGCGCAAAUUACCCAAUCCCAGAACGGGGAGGUAGUGACGAAAAAUAACAAUAUGAUGCCUUACGGUAUUGUGAUUGGAAUGGAAGGGACGUAAAAUCUCCCUUGAGGAUCUAGUGGAGGGCAAGUCUGGUGCCAGCAGCCGCGGUAAUACCAGCAUCCACAAGCAUAUACAAAAGUUGCUGCGUUUAAAAAGCUCGUAGUUGGAUCUGCUAAUUGAGUCUCGUAUACCCUCGGAUCCUUAACUGGGCCUUGUGGAGACUUGGUUACCUUGCCGUCGAGUGUGCUUGCGCUUAAUUGUGUUGAGUACUCGAGACGGAGGUUUUACUUUGAAUAAAUUAGAGUGUUCAAAGCAGCCUUUGGGCUUGGAUAUCAGAGCAUGGAAUAAUAGAAAAGGGCUGUGUCCCAAUCAUGUGGUCGUUGGCGAUACGGUAAUGAUUAACAGGGACGGGCGGGGGCAUUCGUAUUGCUACGUUAGAGGUGAAAUUCUUGGAUCGUAGCAAGACGGACUACUGCGAAAGCAUUUGCCAAGAACGUUUUCAUUAAUCAAGAACGAAAGUUAGAGUAUUGAAGAGGAUUAGAUACCCUCGUAAUUCUAACCAUAAACGAUACAUACUUGCGAUUCGCCAGAGUCCUCAACGACCUGGCGGGAAGCUACCCGGGAAACCAAAGUUCAUUUGUUCCGGGGGAAGUAUGGUUGCAAAAUCGAAACUUAAAGGAAUUGACGGAAGGGCACCACCAGGAGUGGAGCCUGCGGCUUAAUUUGACUCAACACGGGAAAACUCACCAGGUCCAGACAUAGUUAGGAUUGACAGACUGAAUCUCUUUUAUGAUUCUAUGGGUGGUGGUGCAUGGCCGUUCUUAGUUAGUGGAGUGAUCUGUCUGGUUAAUUCCGAUAACGAACGAGAUCCCGGCCAUUUAACUAGCUUCGUUCACUCUAUGUGUACGUGUGCUUCUUAGAGGAACCAUGUGGAAACAAUACCACAAGGAAGUGGGGCUAUAACAGGUCUGUGAUGCCCUUAGAUGUCCUGGGCCGCACGCGCGCUACACUGGGUACCUCAGCAUGAUUGUUAACCUGGUCCGUCAAGGUCUAGGUAAUCACUGAAUGGUACGCCAUACUUGGGAUAGAUUAUUGCAAUUAUUAAUCUUAAACGAGGAAUUCCUAGUAAGCGCCAGUCAUCAGCUGGCGUUGAUUACGUCCCUGCCCUUUGUACACACCGCCCGUCGCUACUACUGAUUGGACGUUUAAGCGAGAACUUCAGAUUCCUAGCGACUGAUCUUCGGUGAAAUCGUAAUGGGAAAAGUAGAUCUAGCUUUGGUGUCUAGAGGAAGUAAAAGUCGUAACAAGGUUUCCGUAGGGGAACCUGCGGAAG
rnacentral:rRNA from 1 species